AAAAAAAAACAAUUUAAAAAAACUUUCAGCAACGGAUCUCUUGGUUCUCGCAUCGAUGAAGAACGCAGCGAAAUGCGAUAAGUAGUGUGAAUUGCAGAAUUCAGUGAAUCAUCGAAUCUUUGAACGCACAUUGCGCCUCCUGGUAUUCUGGGGGGCAUGCCUGUUCGAGAGUCAUUUACAGCAAUUUCGAAUCCCCCCCAACCUUCAGUUUGUGUGUGGGGGUGAAUCGGUUUUGGUUGAGGAGAGAGAGAAGAAGGGGAGACUAACUACUCUCCCUCCCCACCAAAAUUCAUAGGCAGUCCGUGUUUUUGUAAACCUUGGAUAUGUUUAUGGCGUUGUAAACGGGAGGUUUCUCCUUCAUUGGGAAGGUGGGCCACUUUUCGCUUGUAGCAAAUUUGAGAAAUACUUGGACUCGCCUUCAAGAAUAUAAAAAAAAAUCCCCAUGGUUUUUUUAUA
rnacentral:misc_RNA from 1 species